AUACGUAGGGGGCAAGCGUUAUCCGGAUUUACUGGGUGUAAAGGGAGCGUAGACGGCAAGGCAAGUCUGAUGUGAAAACCCAGGGCUUAACCCUGGGACUGCAUUGGAAACUGUCUGGCUCGAGUGCCGGAGAGGUAAGCGGAAUUCCUAGUGUAGCGGUGAAAUGCGUAGAUAUUAGGAAGAACACCAGUGGCAAAGGCGGCUUACUGGACGGUAACUGACGUUGAGGCUCGAAAGCGUGGGGAGC
rnacentral:rRNA from 1 species